rnacentral:rRNA from 1 species
CUGUUGUUCGGCCGCGGUAUCCUAUGCGUGCGAAGGUAGCGUAAUCACUUGUUCUUUAAAUGUGGACUAGUAUGAAUGGCACCACGAAGGUUAUACUGUCUCCUUUUUUUAAUCAGUGAAACUAAUCUCCCCGUGAAGAAGCGGGGAUAAAAUUAUAAGACGAGAAGACCCUAUGGAGCUUUAAACAACAUAGCACUUGCCACACAAAUAAAACAUUUCAGAAUUAUUAAAGCUCACUUGGCAAUUUGACUUUUAGUUUUUGGUUGGGGUGACCGAGGAGCAUAACAUAACCUCCAUGUUGAAAGAACAAUUUCUAAGCCAAGAGCCACACCUCUAAGCAUCAACAUAUCGACAUCUAUUGACCCAAUAUAUUUGAACAACGAACCAAGUUACCCUAGGGAUAACAGCGCAAUCCACUUCAAGAGCCCCUAUCGACAAGUGGGUUUACGACCUCGAUGUUGGAUCAGGGUUUCCCAGUGGUGCAGCCGCUACUAAAGGUUCGUUUGUUCAACGAUUAAAACCCUACGUGAUCUG